rnacentral:rRNA from 1 species
UACGUAGGGUGCAAGCGUUGUCCGGAAUUAUUGGGCGUAAAGAGCGUGUAGGCGGUUAGGUAAGUGGGUUGUGAAAACUGGAGGCUCAACCUUCAGACGUCGACCCAAACCCCCUGGCUAGAGUCCGGAAGAGGAGAGUGGAAUUCCUGGUGUAGCGGUGAAAUGCGCAGAUAUCAGGAAGAACACCCGUGGCGAAGGCGGCUCUCUGGGACGGUACUGACGCUGAGACGCGAAAGCGUGGGGAGCGAACAGG